GAAAAGGUUAAUUACUCAGUGGUAGAGCAUUCGAAAGCAGAUCGAGAGGUCCCCGGUUCAAUCCCGGGUGUCCUCUUCU